UACGGGGGGAGCAAGCGUUGUUCGGAUUUACUGGGCGUAAAGGGCGCGUAGGCGGCACCGCAAGUCGACUGUGAAAUCUCCGGGCUUAACCCGGAAAGGUCAGCCGAUACUGCGGGGCUAGAGUGCAGAAGGGGCAACUGGAAUUCUCGGUGUAGCGGUGAAAUGCGUAGAUAUCGGAAGGAACAUCAGUGGCGAAAGCGGCUUCCUGGACCAGCACCGACGUUCAGGCACGAAAGCGUGGGGAGCAAACAGG
rnacentral:rRNA from 1 species